UACGUAGGUGGCAAGCGUUAUCCGGAAUUACUGGGCGUAAAGGGUGCGUAGGCGGUUCGUUAAGUCUGUCGUGAAAUCCCCGGGCUCAACCUGGGAAUGGCGAUGGAUACUGGCGAGCUAGAGUGUGUCAGAGGAUGGUGGAAUUCCCGGUGUAGCGGUGAAAUGCGUAGAGAUCGGGAGGAACAUCAGUGGCGAAGGCGGCCAUCUGGGACAACACUGACGCUGAAGCACGAAAGCGUGGGGAGCAAACAGG
rnacentral:rRNA from 1 species